CCUGUUUGUCAUUGCUCUCAGGGUGACAACCAGUGCCUUCUUCUCGUCACCAUUAGAUAUUCGUAUAUCCAGUUUUUGCAUUAUGUCUUUUUGUCUGCCCACGCUGUUUCCUCUCCUUGAUCUCCUCCAUGGACAGUUUCCUCCGGACCAUUGCUCAUCAACACCCUUCCAGCUUCCACCAGCCAGAGCCCCCUAGGACAGCUCAAGGAUUUGGCAGGCCUGAAGGACCAGUUGGAGGACAUUCAGAAACGCGUGGAGGACGAGAUACAGGCUGGGCUUCCUCCAGGAGGCAGUCUGCUGGCUUCUCCUUUCCUGAAGGGGUUUCUGACCGGGUACAUUGUUGCUAGGCUACGCUCUACAGCUCUGCUGGGUGUUGCUGUAGGAGCAUGUACAGGAAUCUAUGCAGCACAAAGUUAUGCUAUUCCCAACAUUGAAAACACCAUCAAAGACUACAUAAAAAAACUGAAAGGAGGACACAAAUGAGAAGAUGAGAGGAGUAAGAAGACUUGAAAGGAGGGAGCAAGGAUGUCUGCAUUAAUAAGGGUGCCAACAGCUGCAUAUGGGAACAGAUUUCACAAGUUUCACCAGUUAUUAAUUUGAUCUAAUUAUUAUUAAUCAGUGAGUAAAUAGGAAGAUUCUAAAGUAGCAAAGCAACAAACAGUGAGUCUUUUCAUUGUUAUUUUUUCUGACUCAUUUAAAGCAAGGUUCAUCUGAAUCCUUGGUACAUGAGUACAGGGAACAGGUGAGUGAGAUACAUUUUGUAGUCGCCUGAGCAUAUUAACAUGCAUUGGGAAAAUGUUAUAUUCCAGUUCAAUGAAACAGAAGGCAACAAUAUUAGCUUCCUAUGUGGUCAAUAGCUGAAAUUCAAACUGCUGCCAUUAAGUACAACAAACCUUGUAGAUAACAGAAGCACUGUGUAAAAGAGUUUGUUGUUUAAACAGCAAAUGAGGUGUGAUGUGUUUCUCUCUCUUGAAUCUCUUUUAAAAAAGGAGGUUAAAUAAUUAGUACAGCUGGUCUGCACAUACAUAAGAGAUUGGUUUGCCUUUUUCCCAAACCCCUGAAAAAGCUUAUAUUGUAUUAAUAUUUCAGUUGUAUUAAGUCAGUGAGUUUUAGAAAUGUUGUCAUCCUCUUUGGUGGCUUCUGCCCUCUAGUGGUCAGCAGCCGGUUAUAGCAGCCUUCAAGUGCACCUUUUUGCUCAGGGGUUAUAGUGCAUGUAAUAAAGGUCUCAUCUCACAUCACUGUGCGUGUAUGAAAAACCUGUCAAACCCUUUAUUGUUCGUUAAUGUUCAGUGUUUGCAGGUGUCAGAGCAAAGUGGUGUCACCACGUGGUGAGGUUAGCAGUCAGUUUUUCACUUGGUAAAACUUUUUUUUUUUUUUUUAUUUUUAAAAAUUUCUCCCCCCCCCCCCCCCCAUCUCUGUAGAUGUUCAUGAAGGAUAACUUAAAAUAGAGUUUUCAAAGUUUUGACAUUUUUAUAAUUAUAAAAAUUGACCAAAAAAUGACCAAAUCUGUUCAAACAUAAGCAAAAUUACACCUGAAAAUGUAACAUCUCUCUACAUGUUCCAACUCGCACUGAUAAAAUAAAUGAAACUUCAAUCUCCAACAGCUAGGGAACAUGGUUAGCAGACAGCCAGACAAAAGCAUUCACCAAAGCAAACUUUAAAGCUGUAGUUUUACACAUAUCAGGAAAAGUGUGCAUUAUAAAGUAUUUUAUGUAAAAUAUACACUAAGAGUGCCUGCUCUGA